rnacentral:rRNA from 1 species
UACGUAGGGACCAAGCGUUGUUCGGAUUUACUGGGCGUAAAGGGCGCGUAGGCGGUGCGGUAAGUCACUUGUGAAAUCUCUGAGCUUAACUCAGAACGGCCAAGUGAUACUGCAGUACUAGAGUGCGGAAGGGGCAAUCGGAAUUCUUGGUGUAGCGGUGAAAUGCGUAGAUAUCAAGAGGAACACCUGAGGUGAAGACGGGUUGCUGGGCCGACACGUGACGCUGAUGCGCGAAAGCCAGGGGAGCAAACGGG